GUAUGACAAAGUGGUGGCCGGGCACGGUGAGGUGCGCUGGCAGCUGUGUGACGCAGUGGUGGCCGGGCACUGUGAGGUGCACUGGCAGCUGUGUGGAUAUGUCAAAGUGGUGGCCUGGCAUGGUGAGGUGCACUGGCAGCUGUGUGGUGUGACGCAGUGGUGGCCUGGCACGGUGAGGUGCGCUGGCAGCUGUGUGAUGCAGUGGUGGCCUGGCACAUUGAGGUGCGCUGGCAGCUGUGUGGUGUGAUGCAGUGGUGGCCUGGUUCGGUGAGGUGCGCUGGCAGCUGUGUGAUGCAGUGGUGGCCGGGCAUGAUGAGGUGCACUGGCAGCUGAGUGACGCAGUGGUGGACUGGCACGGUGAGGUGCGUUGGCAGUUGUGUGGUGUGACGCAGUGGUGGCCUUGCACGGUCAGCUGUACUGGCAGGUGUAUGAUGAAGUGGUGGCAUGGCACGGUGAGGUGCGCUGGCAGCUGUGUGAUGCAGUGGUGGCCUGGCACAGUGAGGUGCGCUGGCAGCUGUGUGGUGUGACGCAGUGGUGGCCUGGCACGGUGAGGUGCGCUGGUAGCUGUGUGACGCAGUGGUGGCCUGGCACAGUCAGGUGGGCUAGCAGCUGUUUUAUGCAGUUGUGGCUGGUCACAGUGAGGUUCACUGGCAGAUGUGUGGUGCGACGCAGUGGUGGCCUGGCAUGGUGAGGUGCGCUGGUAGCUGUGUGAUGCGGUGGUGGCCUGACACGGUGAG
rnacentral:lncRNA from 1 species